rnacentral:misc_RNA from 1 species
GAUGAAGAACGCAGCGAAAUGCGAUAAGUAAUGCGAAUUGCAGAAUUCAGUGAAUCAUCGAAUCUUUGAACGCACAUUGCGCCCCUUGGUAUUCCAUGGGGCAUGCCUGUUCGAGCGUCAUUUGUACCUUCAAGCUUUGCUUGGUGUUGGGUGUUUGUCCCUCGGGACUCGCCUUAAAGUCAUUGGCAGCCAGUGUUUUGGUUUUGAAGCGCAGCACAAGUCGCGAUUCAAGGCUAUCCGCCCGCUUCCACAAGCCUUUUUCACUUUUGACCUCGGAUCAGGUAGGGAUACCCGCUGAACUUAAGCAUAUCAAUAAGCGGAGGA